rnacentral:rRNA from 1 species
UACGUAGGGGGCAAGCGUUGUCCGGAUUUAUUGGGCGUAAAGAGCGUGUAGGCGGCCAAGCAGGUCCGCUGUGAAAACUCGAGGCUCAACCUCGAGACGUCGGUUGAAACCAUCUGGCUAGAGUCCGGAAGAGGAGAGUGGAAUUCCCGGUGUAGCGGUGAAAUGCGCAGAUAUCGGGAAGAACGACCCGUGGCGAAGGCGGCUCUCUGGGGACGGU